AUGAACGCUGGCGGCGUGCCUAAUACAUGCAAGUCGAGCGAACGGACGAGAAGCUUGCUUCUCUGAUGUUAGCGGCGGACGGGUGAGUAACACGUGGAUAACCUACCUAUAAGACUGGGAUAACUUCGGGAAACCGGAGCUAAUACCGGAUAAUAUUUUGAACCGCAUGGUUCAAAAGUGAAAGACGGUCUUGCUGUCACUUAUAGAUGGAUCCGCGCUGCAUUAGCUAGUUGGUAAGGUAGCGGCUUACCAAGGCAACGAUGCAUAGCCGACCUGAGAGGGUGAUCGGCCACACUGGAACUGAGACACGGUCCAGACUCCUACGGGAGGCAGCAGUAGGGAAUCUUCCGCAAUGGGCGAAAGCCUGACGGAGCAACGCCGCGUGAGUGAUGAAGGUCUUCGGAUCGUAAAACUCUGUUAUUAGGGAAGAACAUAUGUGUAAGUAACUGUGCACAUCUUGACGGUACCUAAUCAGAAAGCCACGGCUAACUACGUG
rnacentral:rRNA from 1 species